GCUUAGUCCAACUCCACACCCACCACCAUUGGCUGUUUGUGAUCAUCCGAAAAAGAAUGGUGACCGUGGAAGAAGUUCGUAAGGCUCAACGUGCCCAAGGCCCUGCCACCGUGUUGGCCAUCGGCACAUCAACCCCGCCUAAUUGUGUUGAUCAGAGCACAUACCCUGACUACUAUUUCCGUAUCACAAAUAGUGAGCACAAGACCGAGUUGAAAGAGAAGUUCAAGCGCAUGUGUAAGUUUUUUACUUUGAUCUAAAAGCUAAAUUACCUUAUAUACAAACUUAAUGUGAUUUUGUGUUUCAUACAUGAUUCGGCUAUGAAAAUAAAAGAGGAGAAAGAUAGAUGUGCAUGGUUCAUAUCAUUUUCAUGCAAAUGCUUUAACGGAAAAAAAGUUAGCUACGUAUACAGUAUGACUUGAAAAUAGAUUAAAGUUCUUUUCUGGUUCCAAAAAUACUAGAUUGAAGUUUGUUAGGUUCAUUUCUUGUAAAGCACAUUUAUUCAAAUCAUAUAACUCCACAGACUUAAUUUGUCUCACGUUUUCUAUCAAUAGAUUAAGGAUUUGAUUACAAGUUUGAAAUUUAUACAAGUGAAUUAAUAAGUUUUUCUUUUUUUUUUACCAAAUAUUAGUAAGUUGUUAGAUGUUCUAGCUUAUAAUUUUUUUUUAUUUUUUUACAAUACUAUAUAUUUAUUAUUUUUAUGAUUUCAAAUAUUAUAUAGUUGAUUGAGUCUUAGUUUGAUUGACAUUGACAUUGUUACCAAUACAAAAAACGUAGAUUCGAGCGCAUUAAAAUACGUUUAUCCUCAUAUUUAAAUAUUGGAAAGGAUUAUGGAUAGUUUCAAGUAUUAUAUAAAUAUUAAUUUUUUGGACGAAUAAUAAAUGUUAAUUUGAAAUUAUUUUUCUUUUAUAUUUUAUAUUAUAGUAUUUUUGUGAAAUUUCUAUAAUUUUUAAAAAUAAUUUGAUCAUUUCAAUUAUAAAUUUUUAAAUGUUUUUUUCAUAAAUGUACUUUUAAAUAAUUUUUUUUUUCAAAUUAUAAAUCUGCAUUGCAUUCUUUCUGCCCAUGACCCACCUAAAAGUUUCUUACGAUUGAAGCUUUUAUGAGACAGAGAAUGACAAUAUGUAUUAUAUAAUAUUAUAAACUGAAUUAGCAAUGGAUUUUGAAGGGGGAGACCUAGACUGAUGUUUUCCCUAUCUAGUGAAGUUGGAUAAAAAAAUCAGUUAAAACACUCUUAUAUGCUAAGUUGGGAGAAUUAAAAGUAAGUUUAUUGUGUUUGAUUAUUUAGGUGAAAAAUCGAUGAUCAAGAAGCGAUACAUGUACCUUACAGAAGAGAUUUUGAAAGAGAAUCCCAAUGUAUGUGAAUACAUGGCUCCUUCACUGGACGCUAGGCAAGAUAUGGUGGUAGUUGAGGUGCCAAAGCUAGGCAAAGAAGCAGCCACCAAGGCCAUUAAGGAGUGGGGCCAGCCCAAGUCCAAGAUCACCCACCUUGUCUUUUGCACCACUAGCGGUGUGGACAUGCCUGGGGCUGACUACCAGCUCACCAAGCUUUUAGGCCUCCGCCCCUCCGUUAAGCGCCUCAUGAUGUACCAACAAGGUUGCUUCGCAGGGGGGACGGUGCUCCGAGUGGCUAAGGACUUAGCUGAGAACAACAAAGGUGCUCGUGUACUUGUUGUGUGCUCGGAGAUUACUGCUGUUACCUUUCGUGGACCUAGUGACACUCACCUAGACAGUCUUGUGGGCCAAGCAUUGUUUGGUGAUGGUGCCGCAGCUGUUAUAAUCGGGGCAGACCCCGUGCCCGAAAACGAGAAGCCCAUGUUUGAACUAGUCUCAGCAGCCCAAACGGUCUUGCCAGAUAGUGAUGGUGCGAUUGAUGGUCACCUUCGUGAAGUUGGUCUUACAUUUCACCUUCUUAAGGAUGUUCCGGGGCUUAUUUCGAAGAAUAUAGAAAAGAGCCUGGUAGAAGCAUUUCAACCAUUGGGCAUAUCCGAUUGGAACUCCCUUUUUUGGAUUGCUCAUCCUGGUGGUCCAGCAAUAUUAGAUCAAGUAGAAGCCAAAUUAGCACUGAAGCCAGAGAAGCUACGAGCCACAAGGCACGUUCUUUCAGAGUAUGGUAACAUGUCAAGUGCUUGUGUUCUAUUUAUUUUGGAUGAGAUGAGGAAGAAAUCAAGGGAAGAUGGGCUUCAGACCACAGGAGAAGGAUUGGAGUGGGGAGUGCUCUUUGGGUUUGGACCUGGCCUCACUGUUGAGACUGUUGUGCUCCAUAGUGUUGCUGCUUAAAGUUAAACAAACAUGCCUUUUAAGUAAUUGGUCGUGCUCCACUUGGCUUGCAGUUUUAUCUUCUUCUUUUUUCCUUUUUUAGAAUCCUAUGAAUUUGUGUGUUUAUCGUUAAAGACUAGAAGCCUUUGAUGGUGUGGGCGGGAAGCUUAACGCCUAUUCAAUUCAUGUAUCAACUUAUAUUAAAUUUAUGGCAAUAAUAAGUUACUUUGCAAACUAUUCUACCAAAAACAAACUUCUGUUAAUCUCUCUAUAUAUGGAUCCUUAUGCUAACAGUUGUAUUAUUUUCCCAUAAAAUGUUUUUUAAUUAUUUCUUUUACACGUGAAUUGUUAUUCCUACUGAGUCUACUCCUUUGUUUGCAUAAGCUACAAAAUAAGGAAGCCAACUAAAUGCUACAGUUGUCCUAAAUUUUGGGUGGGCUAUAUUUAUUGUUUUGAGGUAAAAACUCAAACUUGCUAUAAAAUAUAAAAAAUAGUAAGUAACAUAAUUAAAAAAUAGGAUAACAAAAGAAAAGUAUGUAUUCAUCAAUAGAAAUAUUUAUAAUACUUCUUUAAAGUUAGUAUUUAUGUAUAUAAGAAAUAUAAAUAUUCAUCACACUCUCUCUUGGGGAGAGUGUUUAUUAAUAGAUAAUAUGUGACGUGAGUCUCAAGGGGAUCAUAAGGUGAUCAUAAAUUAGUUUGUCAAUUCAAGGGGAGAGGGCCAAACAAAAAGAGGAAUACGAUUGAGCUAUCACCUUUUGUGCACUGUUAUUGGUGUAGUUGAAAAUAUCACAAGGCUUUCCAAUGUCCAAUUAAAUAUUCAAAUAGAGGGAAUACGAUUGAGAUAUAACCUUUUGUGCAAAGUUAUUGGUGUAGUUCAAAAGAUCAUAAGGGUUUCCAAUGUCCAAUUAAAUAUCCAACUAGAGAAGAAAGUAAAUAUGACUUUGUACCUUUUGUUGACUCAUACUCUAGUGGAAAAUAGAUUUGUGAUGGCAAACUUUGUGAACUGGAAAAAGAUAAUGGUGAUGAUUUUUUAAUUUGAAUCUAUUAAGUUAGAUGAGAUAGAAACAUCAUGUUCUCUUACUAAGAGUAUUGUAUUGAAUUGAAUAUCCAUAAUUCUUGUAAGGGGGAUAUAGGAAGUAAGGAAGAAAAAAUUGAAAAGAUAGAGAGAAAAAAGAUCUUAAGUGAUAAAAGUCUACUUGAUGGUCCACUUUUGGUGAGUAACAAUACAUAUGAGGUAAAAUUGGAGAGUUCUCAAGUGGGAAAAGAAAAUGAAAAACAACAAAAUAUUCAUGCAAAAGUGAGGAAUGGUUAUGUUUUAACUAACCAUAACUCAAAUUUAUCUAGUGGUUUUUCCUUGUUACAUGAUUUUAAGGAUCCAUUGACGGACUUCCAAUUACAUUACUCUAACAUCGAUUGACACUUUUACUUGUCGGAGAGAGGUAAGUUGAAUAUUAAUAAUUCUCCACAAGUGCUACAAGGUAAGAAAGGUAAGGAAACGUUAGAAAUUGAUUCAAGAAGACAUACAAUAAAUGUUUUUGAUAAGUGUGCUAUUGAUUUUGUUUUUCCUUAUAACAUGCUUUCUUGUUGGUCAAAUUUCAUUAAACCUUGGUCUGAAAGUUCAAUUAAUUUUAUGGGUUUAUCUAGAUUUGUAAAGGUUAGAAAUAGUAAUUAUGUUGCACUAGAUAGGUUUACUAAAACAUUUUAUAUAUUUUCUCUUGCAACAAAAUUUUCUAUCUUGACCUUUAACGAUGAAUUUUUACACAAUCUUAACAUUCUUGAUUUUUAUAAUUAUGUGAAAUUCUUGACUCAUCGUUGGAAAUUCUUAUGGAUGACCAUGUAUAUUCAAAGAAAGUUACAAGUUAUUUUUUAUUUGAACACUCAUGUGCCUAAUAUUUCUUUAUUCAGUGUUGAUGGUUUGUGUUUGAAGGAGAGAUACUUGAUCCACUCUAAUUUGGGAGAUCAAAAUUAUUUUGUAACACCGCUUACCCGUAUCCAAGGCUGGAACAGGGUACGAGGCAUUACCAGACUUAACCAUACACAUAGAUGAAAAUCGGGCCAUAAAAUUUCAUUUAAUUUAAAACUUUUCGAACACAUGCAUAGACUCAUAUUUAAAGACAUAUAACGUGGCAUAAAUGAGCACUUACACAUCCAUAAUCAUGCAAUAACAUGUCAUUAUUUGCUUACCAUCCUGUAUAUAAUAUACAGUCUUACCUUAACUAGAACUAGACAUGCUAAAUCUUAUUCUCAUUUUAUACCACCAUAAUGUAGUUACCAAUUUGUCCAUUAAACAUCCAUAUUCAAGGAAACAUUAUUCAUUUCCAUUUAAUUCAUGAUCCACUGGCCUGCAUUUAACUUACCUGAUGUAUUACCAAUCAUGCAUAACAAACAAAGCUAACUAUAUCAUCACAUCAAAAUAUAGGACAUGACAUGAUUAAUUAAACUUAUAAACCUUAAUGGAUAAUGACCACAUCUCAUGAUCACAUACGAUAACUCAAUGCAGACCGAUACGUAUGGUCAAAGUCAUAAUAAUAAUACAUAUCACAAACCAACUUCCUAUACAUGCCACUCACUUGAUAUUUCUAAUAUUUAAUUAAUUCUCCCAAAAAUGAUAGCUUGAUAGUGUGAUUUUGCCUCCGACGAUCUCCAACCCCGAGCCGACCUACAAAUACUAAAGAAAUGGAGAGGAUGGGUAAACUUUACUAUUAGUAAGUCCAUAUGAAGUUAAUAAGCAAUUACUAACAUGCUUUUCAAGAUAAAACACUAUAAUUGUACAAUUACACAUGUUUAGGUUAAGCUGUUUUAUCGAGUUAUAGUUACUAAAUCAUUCAUAUUUGGAGUUACAAAACUCCAACUUUAGAUUCAUUAUUUUUUCUUGAAACUAGACUCAUAUACCUUUCACCCAUAAAAUUUCCAGAAUUUUUGGUUUAGCCAAUUAGUACAAUUUAUUCAUUAAAGUUUUCCCCGUUUCUCUGUCUAACAGUUCUGACCUCUCUUCACUAAAAAUUAUUUAUCUCAUAUUUCGGGACUUGGAUGAUGUUUCCGUCCAUUCCUCCUGAAAUUAGACUCAUUUAUAAUUAUAUUCAUAUAAAUUAUAACUCAUAAUUAUUUUUGUACAAUUUUUAACAAUUUUUCCAAGUCAGAAUAGGGGAUCUCGAAUUCAUUCUAACACUGUCUCACAAAAAUUAGAAUAUCACAUAAUAUAGAACUCUUUUACUUCCCUUGUUUCUUUUAUAUGAAAAUAGACUCAUUAAUAUUUAAUUAAAUAAUUUUUUUGAAAUUUAAUUCAACUUAAAAAUUUUUUGGUGAAUUUUCAAAGUCACACAACUGCUUCUGUCCAACACUGUUUUACUACUAAAAUUCACUCUUACAUAAUUUCACUUAAUCCAUUUUGUCUUAUUGAAGUUCACUCAAAUAUCGAGCACAUUGCUCGUAAUUUUCAUAAACAUAUACCUGCACUUAUUCAUCAUAUAAUCAUGUUUACAUGUAUUUUUACUUAAUCGAUUUUCCCAUUGAACUCUUCGGAAUAAUAACUAAUACUCAGUUGCCUAUACAUAUUUUCACACUUGUAGACAAGGCUAUUUGGUACGCAUAGUAGCCUGCACUUAGUACUACACAUGCGACCAAUUAUCCGGUACACGUAGUAGCUUGCACUUAGUACUACACACGUGAUCAAAGUUAUCGGGUACGCAUAAUAGGCUGCACUUAGUACUACACAUGAGACCAAUUAUCCUGUACACGUAGUAGCUUGCACUUAAUACUACACACGUGACCUCACAAUAGAUCAUUCGUAUCGUUUCUAUUCCGAAGGCUCAACCGGGAAAUUCCUCACUUUCUAACAUGUUACAAAUUUAUUCAUAGUCCUUUUUCAAUUUGCAAUUUACAACAAAUAAUCAUUAGCAAUUCAUACAACCCAUGUAAUAGUAAUUUAACAUUCAAUUCAUGUAACAAUAAUUUGCCAUUCAAUUUCACAUGACACAACAAGCAUCACAUUUUCCAUAUCAUACACAUCAUCCAUCAACUUCUCCUAAACAUAUUAAAUCAGACAAUUUAUUCCAUAACAAUAGAAAAUUACAAUUCAAGUAUGAUAUUGCAUUAUUAUUAACACAUGAACUUACCUCGUAUUCGAAAAUGACCAUUUUUACCAUUUUGUCCACAACAUGGUAUUUUGCCGAUUUUAGCCUGAAUUUCAAUUUUCCUUACUCUAUCAUUACAAAUAUAGCCUAAUUAAGACUCACAUUAUUCAAAUUGACCCAAAAUCAUAUUUUUGAAAAAUUACAAUUUUGCCCCUAAACUUUGUCAAAAUUAUAUUUUUGCCCCUAGAUUUGUAAAUUAAACUUCAUCCUAUUUUAUUAUGUUUUAUGACAUGCUGAUCAUUUUUCCCUUCUAUAGCAACAUUAAAUUCACACUCUAACAUGUACUUAUGAACAUUAGGUAUUUUUACCGAUUAUGUCGUUUUACUCGUUUUCACGUAAAAUCGCUUAGUAAAAAUUGUUUAACACAAUUUCAAGCUUCAUAUUCUACCAUAAAACAUCAAAAUAAACAUAUUUCACCUAUGGGUAUUUUUUCAAAUAUAAACCCUAGGUUAAAUUAUUGCUAGAAUAAGCUUAACCAAGUUACUGAGAUUUCAAAAAUGUAAAGAACUUUAAAAACGGGGCUAAGGAGCACUUACAAUCGAGAUUGGAAGUUUGAACAAACCUUAACCAUGGCUGCUUCUGGUAGAAACAGUUGAAUGAAGAAGAUGAUAGAUAAUUUGGCUUAUUUCCCUUUUUUAAUUCUUUUAAUUAUUAGUUUACCAGAAUACCCCUAACUUAAAAAUAUUUUAUUACAUCCAUUUCAUGUCUAUUUUUGUCCACCAAUUAACCAAUGUCCUAAUUACCAUUUAAGGAUCCUCAAUUUAAAAUUUCAUAACAAUUGGACACCUCUAGCAUGUAGAACUCAACUUUUUCACUUUUUACGAUUUAGUCCUUUUGACUAAAUUAAGUGCCCGAACGUCAAAAUUUUCGAACGAAAUUUUCACGAAAUUAUUUCGUGAAAUCGUAGACCAUAAAAAUAUAAUAAAAAAUAAAAUUUUCAUCGUCGAAUUUCUGGUCCCGAAACCACUGUUUUAACUAGGCCCAAAAUCAGGGUGUUACAAUAUCUUUGAUCCUGGAGAUAGUUUUGACACACAAGAAAGUUUAGGUAAGUUUUUUUUUCUCCUCUGGUGGAAUAGUAGUCAAAUUCGUUUAGCAUUUUUGGGUGCUGUGUGGCUCGAGAGUGUUUUAGCAUCAAAAUCGUAUCAGAUGUGUUCUCAAAUCGUGAAAAUCAAGGUUUCGACGAAAGACAAAAUUGCCUCCUGUCGACGCCACAUGGGCAUGUGGUCACCCGUGUGGUUGGCCGUGUGCGAGACACGGUCGUGUGUCUGACAAAGGUGCGGUCGUGUGUAAGACACGACCGUGUGGUGGUUGGAGUGCGACCGUGUGGGCUAUAUGGGCUAGGCCAAGUUGGGCGUGUGGGCCUACAUGGGCAUGUGGAUUUUGGGCCAGGCAAUGUGGGCCACACGGGUAAGGCCAAUCUGGGCGUGUGGGGCACACGGGUCGUUCCAAUCGACUAUGGGCCUAGCGUAGGGUCGGUAAGGUCUAACCAAACCCUAGUUAUGUGACCUGGUAUUUCUGAUAGUAUACUCUGAGUAGGACACUAUUAUGCAUGUCCAUCUGUUCUGCUACAUGAAUCUCUAUUUUCUGUAUUAAACAUGUUGAGUAUGUUUAAUCUGUAAAUUCUAUAUCUGAUUUUUAUAACUGUUUUGGGGUAGGAUUGUAUAUAUGGAGGAAGUGUUCUAAAAGGCGACCUUCGCCUAUAUUCUGGCAGCUUGGCUGCACAUUAUCUGACUUGUGUCGUAAUGACACAAUAAGGUGUGUAGGGAUAGGUGGGUAUUUUUAACCCCACAUGGUGUGUUGGGAUAGUUAGAGUUGGUGUGUAGAGGAUGGGGGUAGAAUUUUGUAUAUUUUGUUCUGUAUAUCUGAUUCUGUUGACUGUAUCUGAAAUGGGUCUGAGCCCGAAUCUAUAUCUGAUCGCAUAUGGUAUUUCUGUAUGUUUGCAUGCUUAAUUAUGUUAGGUUACUCACUGAGUUUACGAAAACUCACAUUUGCUUGUCUGUUCUGUUCAGGUAAUCCAUAGACUUAGGCAGACUGGUGUGACGGAGACUCAGCGGUGACCACUCGACCGAGAAUUGUAAUGCUUAGUAAUUUUUAUGGUUUUUACUUAACAUUUCUUAAUUUAAUUGAGAGUUUGUAAUUUCUUGGACUCUCUAGACUGUAUGGUUUUUAUCUUGGUUUUGGUUUCAUUUGCUUUAUAAUUGGCAUGGUUUGGCAAAAUGUUUUAUGAAAAUAACGAUUUUUACGCAAAUAAAGGUUUUUUUAAAAAUAUGAACUACCUUUUUGAAAUACAACGAUUUUCGUAAGCUUCCGCUGUAAAACACGUUUAAAGGCAUAUUAAUUAAUUAGAUAACGUUUUGACAUUGAUACAAGCACAUAAGAAUUGAAAAACUGAAAUGGUUUUAUCGUUUUGACUUCGUUUCCAAACCCAUUCUUUGUGACACCUCCAGAUUCGGCCAUAACGUCUAGGCUGAGUUUGGGGUGUUACAAUUAUACCUUGCCAAAAUGUAUAAUCCACUAAAUGACAUCCAAUGCCUAAUGGUUAGACCGUACAUAAUGUUUUGCGCCCAACGCUUAUUGUUUAACUCGACAAGAUCAUUUUUGUGCCUAGCACUAGUCGAACAAAUCGACAAAUUAUUAUGUCCAGCGCUAGUCAUAUAACUGACGAUAGUUGUGCCCAGCACUAGUCGAACAAGUCGACAAAUUAUUGAGCCCAGAGCUAGUCGAAUAACCUAUGAUAGUUGUGCCCGACACUAGUUGAACAAGUCAACAAAUUAUUAUGCCCAGCGCUAGUCGGAUAACUGACGAUAGUUGUGCUCACCAAGAAUUAAAUCCUCAAAACCAUAUUUUAUAAUUUAAUCAACCACAACAAUAUUAAUGAAAAUAUUAUUGAUCUAAUUCAUUAAAUUCGAAUAUUUUUCCAUAGUAUUCCAUCCAAAAGAAUUAACCAAUUAUAUUAAUGGAUAUCAUUUGAUAUCAAAUAUGACCAAAUUAAUUAAAUUAAAAAAAGAGUUCGAGUCAAGGACUACGAACUUACCAUAUUGUGAGGGCUAUUAAGGUCGAUGAUGAUUACUCGACAACCUUCUCCUUUCCACGAUUACUAGCCGAUCCUUUCGUUUCUCGAUCUAAAAUUUACAACAUAAUUAAUUUAAUUUAUUUACUCACCAAGAAACAUUUACUCAAACCAUUAACCCUUUAACCACAUUUCACAUAUUUGCACUCGACAUUAACCUUCAAUACAAUUUAAUCCUCAAUUCCAAAACAUGCUAUUUAGUUAACAAAUCCCAUGUUAACCGUUUUUCCUCAAAGUCCAAAAACAAUUCAUACUUUCAAUCAAUUCACAAUAUAAUCCUAGAAUUUACCAUUUUAAUGAAAAAGUUCCUAAACUUUAAAAUCCAUCAAAAUAACACCAAAAACUUGAAAUUUUCUACAAUGGCAACUUCCACAAACAUCAUAAAUUCUAAAAGUUCCAAUAUGGGUAAGCUAGUUCAUGAUAUUAAGGUUCCAAAAAUAUAAAAUUUAAGUAAAAAAGAUCAAAAUUUACUAACCAAAUUAACUUGAAACUUUCAGCCCCAUGUGUUUCUCUUCUCCUCCUAAGCUUUUCUUGUUCGAAAUUGAAACAAAUUGAAAAGGAAUUUUUAAGCUUCUCUUCCUAUCCACCAUCUAUUAUUCAUCUUUAUUUUAUUUUAUUUACAGUAGUUUAAUAUUAUAGUUAACAUAAUAUAUAUUACAUAUACAUAUAAAUAUGAUAUGACCGUCCCCUUAUUUAACAAUAAGGGUAUAAUUAUUUUUUCAAGUCCUAUAAUUAUAAAUUAGUUUAUAGUUUAAUAAUCAUUAUACUUUUUUCACUUAAGCAAUUAAGUCCCUCUAUCUUAAUUUAAGUUCUAAUUCAAUGAAAUCACCUAACCGAUAUUUAAUUUACUUUUAACAUAAUUCCGUAAAUAUUUUAAUAAAAAUAUUUACAAAUUUGGUUUACGAAAAUGGGGUCCCAAAAUUAUAUUUUUCGGCACUGCUGACUUUCGGGUCAUUACAUUUACAUCCCCAUUCUAGCCUUCAAAGUUGGUUGUCGCGACACCACUAAUGAAUGUCUCGACAUUGGGAUCGUUCUUCAAAUUCCAUGGCCCGAAAUAGUGUCUUGCACACUCAAUUAACCCAUUAGUUUCUCCCUAAGCCUUGAUUGGCCUAGCAGGUCAUUAAACACCUAACAAUGUGUAAAGACACUUAUUCUAUUGAAAUCGAGCACAAAAUGCUAAAAUUGGAAAUUAAUAGUAAUGUAAUCAAAUUACUCGAAAACAAGCUCAUUAACUACAAUAAAGAACCUAAUUACUCGUUGCUUGUCCGUAAAGAAACAAAACAAACAUGCAAGGAAAAAGAAAUAAGAAAAAUAGAAGUGUACUUCAGCAUGCUUCAUACAAGGAAUUAAUUCAGAACAUCAUAAAUAUGAGAGUUUAGUUAAACAUGCAAUUCUAGAAAGAUAUAUGAAUGACUCAUGGUUUUCAUCAUUAAGUAGGUUAGUUCAUUGGGUUAGAAAGGAAACAAGUUAAAGAUUGAUAAAUAUAUGCUUUCAUCAAGCUGACUACACAAGUACUACAUUAAUGUUCGCAGAACACAAGCAAUGGGCACCAAAUUAUAACAACACCACAUUUACCAAAACAUGUGAACUUUACCUAUUUCCAUGAAUAAAGACUCCAUUCUAUUAUGUGCCUAAUACCAUCAUAAUUGGCCAUUUCCAAGGCAACAUCUUAUAUUAAAAUGUCAUGCACUACAAUUCACAAAAGUGACCAAAAGGUCUUACCUAAACAAGCAUUCUUGACAUUAGGAUAUAACAUACUAAAAUGCCAUUUACAUAUUCACAAAACACUAUACAAACAUCCUAUACAGCUAUCUAUAAACAAAAGAUUCAAAUCAAUUGAUACCCCCUAGGUACAUGUCAAAAACACAAAAGAGAACAUCACUGACGUUGAGAACGAGAUUCUUGUAGGAUGUUGAGUCCAAGUAUACUAUAUACCUAACCUGUAAACAUGAGAACCCAUUCACAUUAAUUAGAUUUCACUUAUUUGAAUAACCUCAAAUAUAUCUAAAACAUUGAACUUAUUUUUAUAACAUUAAUAAUGUAAUUCAAGAAAUAUAACAUAUCUUCCAAUGAAUACAUAAGCACAUAAGUAAAUAUAAUCCUUCUUUAAUAAUACCUAUAACAACCUUCUUCAAUGGUUCAUAUAACCUGGUGGUAUAGUCCAAUUAAUACACGACACUAGGUGCCUAGCGGAAUAACCGCGAAAGAGUUUGUGUCCAGCGCUAGUCGAAUGAACCGAUAAAUGUUUACCAAGCACUAGUCAAUUAAAUUGACGGAUGUUGCACCCAGUGCUAGUCAGAUAAACCGAUGAAUACAUAAUGAGCCCAACUCUAGUUGGAUAUACCAACGGGAUUUGCGCCCAGCGCCAGCCGAAUGAAUUGACAAAUUAAAUAAUGAGGCCAACUCUAAUUGGAUUAACCAACAAAUUGUUAUUAUUUAAUUACACAAUUUCUUCAUUCAUUGAGUAUAUCUUCAUUUAAAUAUAAACAUAAUAUUGCAUAUCAAGUAUUUAAAUAACAUCUAUUAAUAAUUAAAUAAAUAGAUAAAAAGGUUAAAUUCAAGAUUAUGAACUUACAGAAUUAUGGAAGCUACUAAAAUAAAAAAAAAUCACUCGAUAGCCUUUUCCUUUUUGCGAUUAGCAAUUGAUCCACUCAAUUUUUUAUUUAAAAAUAAUAAUUUAAAUUUAAUAAUCCAACCACCAAGAAUAUUUAUACUCAAACAUUUAACCCCUUUGAACAAAUUUCACAUCUUUGCAUUCAAUUCAUAUAAACUAUUUUCCAGCAUUCCUUUAACUACUAAAAAUUACAAUUUAAACCAUAUUAUUUUGAAUUUACAACAUUUAAGUCCCUAGAAAUUGUUAUCAGCAAAAAUAACCACACAAUUUGACCAAAUUAGCCUACAAGACUUAUACUUCAAUCAUCACUUCAAGGACUUUUAACAUUCAACAAAAUAACACCAAACCUUUGAAUUUCUUAUCCAUUAUAACCUCCAUAAAUUUCAUUCACUCUCAAAUUUUCAACAUGAGCCAACUAACUCAUAACACUAAAACAUCAAAAACAUAAAUUUCAUGCAGAAAUAACCAAAUUUCACUUACAAAUUUAAACAUGCAUUAUAGCUUCUUGGCCGAACAACCCCUUCUUCCCUUUCCUUAUGGUUUCGCAAAGAAGAAAAAAAUAAAGAAAACUAUUGCUUAAUUUUCUUCUCCCCACUAACUAUUUUUGUUAAUAAAAUAUAACCUUUCAUAUUAAUUUUUAACUUAACUAAUAUUCUAACAUAACACAGAUGUAAAAUACUAAUAAAAUACACUAAUAUAAUUAAUGGCUUAUUUACUUAAUAAGUCCCUUGAUAUUGAUCCACCUUAUAAUUUAAUUUAAAUUCUUAUUUUUAUCACUUAUUUGAUUUAAUUCCCUUACGUUAAUCAAACACUUAAUACUUAGAAUUAUCUAACUAUCAUACAAUUCCCUCCUAAGACAAAUUCUAAAAAAAAUAUUUAAUGAAAAUAAUUAUAAACUUAAUUCACAGAACGGGAUCCUGGAAGUACGUCACUCGACACCUUUAACUUUUAGGUUGUUACAAUAUACGUAACAAAAACAAAACAAAGAGGGAACAACAAAAGAAAAAUGUAAAAGAAAAAGAAAUAGAAACAAGGAGAAAAACGCGGGAAUUAGGGAGAAUGGAAUAGAAUAGAAGGAGAAAUAAAAUAAAAACAAAAGGCAAAAUGCAAAAGUGGGGGGAGUAGGUGAGAGAUAAUUUUGGAAACCAAUUUUUUUUCAAAAAUUAAAGAUAAAAUAUAAUAUAAUAAAACAAAAUUCUAAUUUAUCAGAUUUUUCCUUAAAAUUUAAAUUUGACUAAAUUUUUGACAGAAUAAACGACAUGUAAAAAGGAGCAAAAAUAUUUUCAUUUUGCACUCACAAGGAUUCGAAUACAAUACCAAAAAAUAAGUUGAAGCCUUACCACUAAAUCAAUAAGUUCUUUCUUAUUAACAAUUGAGCGAAAAUUAAAUAUAAGUUAGAUAUGCAAAAAAAGAGAUAGGGACAAAACUAGCAAAAAUUAAAAAAAAAAACAAUUUGAACAUAAGACCUCAAACACACAUCCAAAGCACUUAUCCACUAAAAUAGAUCAAUUUACUCGAUAACAUUUCCGCAAUCAUAACUAAAAAUCAGGACGUGACCAGUCUUGACUUCACUAACUCAAUUUCUUCUAACUCGGUUUUCGAGUUGUGACAAAAAUUUUCAUAUAUUAUAAUAUUAAAUAUGUUACUUUCAAAAAAAUAAAAUUAAUUUAUAGCAUUCAUAUUAUAUAAGGAUUUAAGGAUUUAGUAUUUAGUACACUAACAAUGUACUUUUUUUUUAUUCUACUAGUAGUUUUAAAAAAUUAUCAUGUCUCUUUUUUUAAAAUAUAUUUUACUAUAACCCUAUAGGACUCUUGUUAAUCUCUUAACCCUAUUUAUGGAGUCUAAAAACUUUAUUGACAGUGUACCAACUAUUAUUUCAUUAUAUAAUCAUAAAUAUUACAUAUUAUAUGUACUUUUAGUUAUAUUAUAUAAAAUAUCUUUAUUUUAAUAAAAUAUAUAUAAUAUUUGAAUUCGAAUCAAAUCCAUAUUUUAAAUAAAUUUUAUUUUACCUAAAACCUAGGGAGCCUAAUUUUAUUUUCAAACCAUCAGACGAUUGUUUUAAGUUUGUUUCACCAUCUAAAUUAAUUAUAAUAUUAAAAAUAUAUAAUAAAAAAUAUAUUUAAUAGUUAGAAGAAUUAGUUGAAUUGUAUGGACAGAUGUGACGGAACGUGGUACAAUCCUUAUAUAGGGUAGAAAUGAGGUUUUAAAUGAUGAAGCGAUAAGUGAAAUCUAUAAUUGUUAAUGAGUAGGUUUCUUUGUUGAAACUCGAAUGUUGGUUUAAAUUUGUGUGAGGUUUACUUAAAGUUUAUUUAAAUAUAGUUUGAGUUCAUACUUAAAUAUUUAAUGUUUGAAUUAAUUUAAUUUGACUCGUUUUUAAGUUAGUAAUAUUUUAUGUUAUGUUAUUUUAAUAUGUUAUGUAAUUUAUAAUAUAUAAAAAUUAAAUUUUUAGUAGUAUUAUAUAAAUAUUAAAAAUUGUUAAAGUGACUAUAUAUAAAAUUAUUAAAUAUUUAAUUAAAAUUAAAAUAAAUAUUUAUUUAAAUUUUUUUUAAAAAUAAUAUAAAUAAACUUAAAAUAAGAUUGGAUUAAUCAUUUAUAAAUAUAAAUAAAUUUAAUAAAAUUUUAAACUUAUAUUUUAAAUUAAAUCAAAUUUAGAUAAAUAUAAAAUAUAUUAAUAACAUGCAUAAACUCAACCUGCACUCAGCUCUACCCAUAAACAUUUAUAGUGAAAACCAACAGAAAUGUGGAGGAUAGGAUGGAGAGGUAGAAGAGUGGAGGCUAGAAUUGGAUGGAUGCACCAAAGUCACGUGCCACCCAGUCUUAACAACUAGCCAUGUGGACUUGGCUCUGCUCAACCACGUGACUCUCAACUACCCUCUCCCAAGCUCCUAUAUCUUAUUUAUAGGACCAAACUCUGGACUGUCAACAACACCUUCUGUUCUUUUUUACCAUUCAUAGCAUAGCAGCUUAGUCCAACUCCACACCCACCACCAUUGGCUGUUUGUGAUCAUCCGAAAAAGAAUGGUGACCGUGGAAGAAGUUCGUAAGGCUCAACGUGCCCAAGGCCCUGCCACCGUGUUGGCCAUCGGCACAUCAACCCCGCCUAAUUGUGUUGAUCAGAGCACAUACCCUGACUACUAUUUCCGUAUCACAAAUAGUGAGCACAAGACCGAGUUGAAAGAGAAGUUCAAGCGCAUGUGUAAGUUUUUUACUUUAAUCUAAAAGCUAAAUUACCUUAUAUACAAACUUAAUGUGAUUUUGUGUUUCAUACAUGAUUCGGCUAUGAAAAUAAAAGAGGAGAAAGAUAGAUGUGCAUGGUUCAUAUCAUUUUCAUGCAAAUGCUUUAACGGAAAAAAAGUUAGCUACGUAUACAGUAUGACUUGAAAAUAGAUUAAAGUUCUUUUCUGGUUCCAAAAAUACUAGAUUGAAGUUUGUUAGGUUCAUUUCUUGUAAAGCACAUUUAUUCAAAUCAUAUAACUCCACAGACUUAAUUUGUCUCACGUUUUCUAUCAAUAGAUUAAGGAUUUGAUUACAAGUUUGAAAUUUAUACAAGUGAAUUAAUAAGUUUUUCUUUUUUUU
rnacentral:lncRNA from 1 species